GUUCUCGGGGAUUAAACUGAAAGUUAGACAUCAGUUGAAACUUGAAAGAGUGAUUUGGUGUAGCCUUUAUACUAAGAUCAUUAUGGAAGAGAGAGCUCAAAAAAGGAGUUAAGAACAACAAAUAAAGUCAAAACUUGUAAAGAUGGAUAAAUGACCAAGUAAAUACACUCGGAUUGAAGACAAACAUAUUUGAAUAGCCAACUACGGGUAUUGCUCUCUUUAAUUAGUAUUAAAAGACAUAUGUGAGGAUGGUCUAGAAUUAAAGAAUGUCGUUGCGGAAGGAUAGUUAUGAUUUUUCAUAGUCCUAUUUGCUGGAAUCAGGACUAAAUAGAAACUGAUAUAAACAAUUAAAUGUUAAGCAUAUGCAAGCUUCGGAAAAUCCCGUGGGGAAAAUGAACUCAAGAAGAAUCAAAGAUUCCUACCUCAUCAGAAAUAUAUCAUAACUGAAUCAGUUUGUUCAGCUCUGAAAAUACAGUGACGAGGAUAUGUCUUCAAAAACUAUUUUAGCCUUUCGUAUCUCAUGAAUUGAGCAAUAGUGAAAUUUAAGUAAUUAUUGCUUGUCUUCUGCGUUCUGCCUACAAUUCUAUCCUUUUUAAAGUUACGUCUCUGCGGUUAUAGGCCAAUUUUAUAUCUUUAUUUUAGUAUAUUAAACAAAGUAGCAGAUUUCUUAUUGCGUUGGAAUACUAAUUUAUUUUACUUUCUCUUACUUUGCAGGAGGCUCUUCCUCCGAUUAUGUCAAUACUUUUAAGGGGAUAAUACUCUCAAGAUGAAAAGAUAGACUUACUUUAAUACUUGGUCAACGAAAAUAGAAUUUUCAAUAUUUUACGAAUUCUCUCUAUUGACAAAACUAAUCUAAUACUAUUAAACUUUUAGUUGAGGAAGCUUUGACGAUAACAAUUCUGCGCUAUUUGGCAAAAUAUGUGCUCGGAAAUUUAGGCCUGACCACUGCAGAGGUUGGUAUGCUUCAUAUUUUUUCUGUGUUGAUGAUCAGAACAAUACCAAGAAUGAACAAAGGUUUGUAACAUUACAAUACACAAUAAGGAUAAAUUAUAUAUUUAGUACCUCCACUGCAUACUCUGCUAUGAUAGGCUUCACCCAGUGCAAGAUGUGCUCAUCAACGACAUCAGCAACGCUGUGCAGGUUGCGAAGCAUGAUGCUAUGGACUGGACUUGUACAAGAGUUUGGUUGAACCUUCCAGUGGGUUUAUCCAUGGAGUAUAAGAUAUACAAGUCAUCAAACACAUUAAGGACAUACACACAGGUUGGAACAAAAAUGGUAGUGCUAAAGAUGCUUCUACAAAAUUGGCUUCCAUGUAUGCAACAAUGUUUGGGUAGCAGAUUUCUAUGACAAAAUGCAGCUUAGAUGGUGGACGCACUAGCAAAAGCCCCAUAUUUGACGGAAACUACUGCAUGCAAGCGAAAUAAUAUUGUUCUUCAACUGGGUACUUUGAGAAUGGUCCUUUCUCUAGAAGAACUUGAUAUAGAAGAUGAGGACCUACUCAAAAAGUGGACGGGAAGUAAAUCUAUCAAGAAACAGAAUAGAUAAUACUCGCAACGAAGUAAUUUAAGCUCAAACUUGCUGCAGGUAGCGCAUAAUAUGGAAAACGGAGAUUUCUUUCACUUGCAUAGCCUUGACAUAAUUGAUUUGGCGGGCAAACCGCUCGAAGGAAUACGGUGGUGGUUGAGUGCAGAUGACCCCUUUUAGUGCCUGACUGCAUGCACCAAUCUUAGGGAAAACGUUAGAACCUCAUCCCCGGGGCGACAACUAUUAAGUUUCACCAUUAAUUGAGUCCUACAAAUUUGAUUUGUCUGGCGAAGUUCGGCUCACAUUGGAAGUAUUGUAGUACGUUCGUUUAAAGUGAUUGCUUCAAUUCAAGUUAUGAGAAGCAUGUCAGAAUUUAGGUAUUCAUGUGAAUCUCAUGAUCUUGAACAAUGAACAUACAUAAAAGUGUUGAGCCUCUUGUUUUAUGAAGAUGGUGUCUUGUAUCAAGAGUGGCUAAGAAGUAGGCGUCAACUAAGACUAAACGCCAGGAAAAAAUGCAUUACCGAUUUGCAAUAUGUAAAUGGUUGUGGCCUGUAGAUAGUUCUCCCAUAUAUGUUGUAAAGAAAUAUGUACUAUGGCAUUUACCAGUAUGAUGCAAUUGUUGAUGUUAUUCCAAAAAAUGUGUGAAUAGCAUCCAUCAAAUUGUUGUUCCAGCUUUUAUAACAUUGGGCCUGAUUUAGGAGUGCACUGCUCCAUACAGUUGUGUUUAGCGAUAGUUCAUUAAAAAUUUAAAAAGGUUUCUCAUUAAAUUACCAUUUUAUUUACUAUCAGUUGGUUACAUAUCAAUCUAUACAGUGUUUUUAACUUCUAAGCCGCCAUUUCUGCAUAUUCUGUUUAGCUCCCUAUCCGCAAAAUAUUGGUUUAAUGUUAACAUGCUCCCCUUUUUCCCUUCACCCAGUACUUUGGCAAAUGUAUAUGUUACGUCUAUUUGUCU